rnacentral:rRNA from 1 species
AUUGAACGCUGGCGGCAGGCCUGACACAUGCAAGUCGAGCGGAGCGGCGGCCGGGAGAGUAAUGCCUAGGAAUCUGCCUGGUAGUGGGGGAUAACGUCCGGAAACGGGCGGUAAUACCGCAUACUAUCAGAUGAGCCUAGGUCGGAUUAGCUAGUUGGUGGGGUAAAGGCCUACCAAGGCGAAGAUCCGUAACUGGUCUGAGAGGCUGAUCAGUCACACUGGAAGUGAGACACGGUCCAGACUCGUAGUGGAGGCAGAAGGGGGGAAUAUUGGACAAUGGGCGAAAUCCUGAUCCAGCCAUGCCGCGUGUGUGAAGAAGGUCUUCGGAUGGUAAAGCACGUUAAGUUGGGAGGCGUUACCAACAGAAUACGCACCGGCUAACUUCGUGCCAGCCGCCGCGGUAAUAC